UACGAAGGGGGCUAGCGUUGCUCGGAAUCACUGGGCGUAAAGGGUGCGUAGGCGGGUUUUUAAGUCAGAGGUGAAAUCCUGGAGCUCAACUCCAGAACUGCCUUUGAUACUGAGAAUCUUGAGUAUGGGAGAGGUGAGUGGAACUGCGAGUGUGGAGGUGAAAUUCGUAGAUAUUCGCAAGAACACCAGUGGCGAAGGCGGCUCACUGGCCCAUAACUGACGCUGAGGCACGAAAGCGUGGGGAGCAAACAGG
rnacentral:rRNA from 1 species